rnacentral:lncRNA from 1 species
CGAAAAUAUUGCAUCUGAUGUCAACACUAUGAGAAAUAUUUCUAUUUAAGACUGAUUAAGAAACAAACAAACAUUCCUUAUACCGUAACACAUAAUUAGAUAAGAGUCUAAAGAGACUUUAAAACCUAAUCUAUCAUGUGACAUAACAAUGUAAUAAAAAUGUCAUAUUAUAGCUCAUCUAACACCAGUCCGAAUUGCAAUGGAUCCGUCAGGUCAUAAAUCCCCCGCUGUCACGACGUAGUGACCUUAAAUUGGAUUAGUGCGAGAGAACAUACAGGCUCUGAUUAAGGACUUUAUUCAGGUAUGUCGGUUCAUAAAGACGCCUGAUGUCGGGACGGUGAAGGCACGUCUACAAGAUAAUGUGGUGUAAACAGAUGGUAAACGUAAUUUCCGGACACAGAUGCGACUUGCAAAAUCUUUAUAUUAUGAUCUCUAUGUGCAUGCGAAUAUCUUCAGCCGACUUGUAAAAUGUCCAAACAGCUCCAACUGCUACCUAAGAUGAUAACACGGACGAUAAAGGAAUGAAGGGUAUGUCUGCUUCACUACGAUUGACAAAACUUGCACAUCUACUUUCAAGCUGGUGAAAGCACGACUUCAAGAUGUAAACUAAAAAAGAAGAUGGUAAUUUCCGGCCACAAGUGUCAAAAUCUUAAAAUUAGGGUCGAAGAGAAAUAUACGUCUCCUUGCGGUAAACAGAAUACAGCACGGCAUUUUGCUUCAUAUACGUGUUAUUCAAAAGACAACAACAGUUUAAAGCCAAAGGAACCCAAUCUAACAAAUUGUGUCAGUCUUUGGACAUUGGAAAUUCUCCCCUUUGCUGAUGAAAUACCAUCUAUCAUUUAAUGGAUAUUUAACUAGAACAGAACGGAACAGAACAGAACAGAACGGACCAGAACAGAACUCUCAGUCAGCAUUUACAUCUCUGUAAACGGCAUCGAUAUUGCCAUUUAAUUUAUCAUAUAUUUAUCGAUUUAUAACUGGUAUUCUGCGGACUCCGUAAUUGAUACAUUGCCAUUUUCUUGACAAAAUAUUGAUAAAUCAGUUGAUAGACCGAUACCGAAGUUGGAUUUUGCUGUUAUCCG